UCUGGUGACUAUAGCAAGGAGGUCACACCUGUUUCCAUGCCGAACACAGAAGUUAAGUUCCUUAGCGUCGAUGGUAGUCGAACUUACGUUCCGCUAGAGUAGAACGUUGCCAGGC
rnacentral:rRNA from 1 species